rnacentral:ncRNA from 1 species
AGUUGCACGUUGGAUAAGGAAUAGUAGAAAGCCGACUCCUUUUAGAGAGCGCAUGGUUGCUGAAAAUGCGUAGGAAGCCUUUUGAACUCGCCUUAAAGUGCUAUCUUUUGCGAACUUCUAGAGUUUUCUAGUCAGUAGCAAGAUACGGUGACGGCCGAUAUCUCGUGUGAGGUUGACUUUUUGUCGACAAAGAUAGGUGGUACCACGUAGAUUCACGUCCUAUGA